CUUAUUACGAUUCUUGUACUUGGCAAGUUAACCUCGCUCAGCUGAUCGGUGCGUGUAAACGGAAUAUAGAUAUUUUUACAUAUCCAGGAAAAGUAUUUGAGUUUUAAACCAAAAUGGUUCGUGUUUUGUGUAAACCUUACUCCUUACCAGGCUAUAUUGAGAGGCAUAAAGCUAGUGAAAUUAUUGACAGCGACCAAGCUCGCCGCGCAACCCAAGCACUUCAAGUUCAACCUAAUUUAACGGUACAUGGUGAUUACCCCAUAACAUCUCCCCCGAGAUGUCAAUCGGAAACAGACAUGUCCUGUGAUUCUGACGGAGAUAGCCUUUCUUCUUGUUCUGGCGGACAAUCAAGCAUUCCCAUGGAUGAGCGGCGUGCAGAGGUAGUUCAGAGAAGAAAGGAAAGACGAAGAGAAAGAAACAAAUUAUCAGCUCAAGCUUAUCGACAACGCAAACGAGAAGAGACACAAAAUCAAGACAAGGUUGUAACUGAUUUGGAAGAACAACAGAAACGAUUACAAGAACAAGUUGCAAAGUUGGAACAUGAAAAAGUGUGCGUUGAGACAUUUUUAAGAAACUGUUUUCAUUCUGUGCCAUGGCCUGUCCGAAAUAAUGAUAAUAACAACAAUGCUAAUAUGGAGCAAAAUGCCCAGAUGCAUUGUUGGCAUCUCAAUAAACAUGGUGAUCAGGUCAAUGGCAAUAUGGCGGUAGUUCCGGGUUGUGGAACCGCUAGUGCAAGACAAGAACAGAGUACGAUGUCGGUGUCUAACCAGAUGGUCGUAUCAUGAAAACCUUCCUGUGGCAAAAGGUAAUCGAAACUGUUCUCAGAUAGCUAAAAAGAAAAACAACAAAAAAGACUGGAUGGUCGGAUGUGUAGGCCUACCCUUUGGAACACAAAAGACUGGAUGGUUGGAUGUGUAGGCCUACCCUUUGGAACUUUGUCUACACUGGAGUUGAAACUAGACUCCCCAUUGACGUUAAUGGAUAACCUUAGCUAUAAAUUUAUGCAGACAUUUUUUUUAAUUUAUAAUUAAAAAUUGACUCAUUAUUUAUAGACUAAUAUAUAGAAUAUUAUUAGGGUUCCAUUAUGGUGUAGUAUGAACGUUUUUAUGUUGAAUACAUAUCGUUGGUUUGGGUUCCAAAGGCGUGGUUUUGGUUAUUGUAUGAUUCAAAAUUCUUUAAUAUGAACUAACUAUUAACAACAUUCUAAUAGUUCUAUAUGUAGAUUAGAUGAAACUCAUCUUGGAAUCAAGUGAUGUUAGAAACUUGUAUUAUCAUCAUGAAAAACAUUAUCGUAUAGGUUUUUGACAGGACGUGUGUUUAUUAAAGCGAUGGUUUAGGCUUUAUAAGUCUAUUGUGUAAUAAAUUUUAGGUUAAUUAUUGUGCACAUUUGUUCAUGCAAGAUAACAAAGAUUUUCAGCUACAAUUAAUCUAUUAAUUGAAAUAGGAUGCAUAAUAAACCAUUGAACUUGUUAAUUUGAAUACCAGUAUUUGUCUUUGUGCCGAUAUCUAAAUUGAAAUUUUAACUUUUGCCCUAAUAUGUUGAUGUCGUGUAUAAUUACAUUCUUGUUAGCCUUAAAUGCUAAUUUCCCCAAUAACCACGAUUUUUUUUUGUACGGCACCAAACGUUAUAUCUUUUUGUGACUUGUUUAAUUAUAACGGGUUCUCAAUACUGUCGCUCGUGUACGUGUAAACCAUUCUUUUGAAUGCAUGUCCCAGAUUGCCUCUCUAUGACGUAGAGGUGCUUUAAGAACUAAUAACAACAGCUUGAUGAAGAUUGUGUGUUCCUCGUGUUGACCAUUAUCCACACCUUUAUUUAUUUAUCAUCUAUGUGUAAUUUUUGAUAUAAAUCUAUUGUUCAUAUCUAUUGCAAGAUUUUACUCUGUUGUGACAUUGAUCGUUAUUUAAAAAGUCAAGGUCGGAAAAUUGACGAUGUUUACCGAACGGUUAAUGAAAGGAUUGUCACGAAGAAGAUUGUGUAUUUCUCAGUAUUGUGAAAUCGUUAUCACGUGAAAUUUGAGAUACAAUAAUUAUGAGUUUUUGUUUUGGUAAGAUAUACCAUAUACAGGGGUUUUAUUUUUCACUUCAAGUUGAAGUACGGCUGUUUUUUUUAAGGUUUUUAUAAUAUUUUAUAUGUGUUUGAAUUCUUUCUGUAUUAAUUAUUAUAUGAUAUGUAUUAUGUUGACAAGAUUAAACAUUAAAUGUUAUCACUUAAAACUUG